AUGGAUACAACAGCCUAUGCUUCCUCAAGCCAUGGAUUUUCACAAAGAUCACUGGCUAUGAUAUUAGCUUUAGUCUCAGCUGUAGUGUUAUCUCCUUUAUUUGUGAAUUCAAAGAGUGAUAGGAGAUAUUAUGAAUCAAAAUGGACUAGCUCUGGUUUUGUUUUGCCUAUGAUUCUUUUUGGACUUAUAAUUGCCAUCAAAAGAACCUCUUCAUCAAGCUCUUAUUCUUUGUCAUCAUCUUCAAGAGCUUCAUUGUUACCAUCUCAUGAUCCUUCUUUGGUGCUUAGAAUUGGAAGUUCUUCUUGGGGGUUAGCAUGUGUUUUGGUUAUGCUCAUGCUUGUUCUUUAUUGGCAAACCUCGGUUCAAGAGUUUUUAUGGAGAUAA